ensembl:lncRNA
CACGCUCGCAAACAAUGGCAGUGCGGUCUUGUCUUCUCUUAACUUCAUAACACGCUCCUCCGCGGUGAUUCCCUGCGCUACCGCAGCCGACCGGUAGAGGACGCGACAGUCUGUGGAAAAACAAUGGAUGGUUAACUAACAACGGAGUGGACCGUCCCCUCCCGCGAGCUAACGAGCUCUGGGUCUACCCAUGGGUCUACCUCAACCCGGCCCUAAUUCAACGUUUAGGGUUUUCUUUCCGUUUACAAGCAAUUUCAAAAGAGAAAAUGGAGAACACCCAAAGCAUCACUUCUGAAAUGAUAAACUGCUGUUAUGCAAGGAAACCGG